CUUGAAACCGUUGUGCCACAUAGAUACGAUGACGUGUCGAAGAGAAUCGUUAGUAAUGUGAAGCAUUCAUACGUCGCGCGUCCAGGAUAAGUCUGUAAUUAUUUUAACAAUACGCUGCGGGUGGAUUUCAAGUGGAGAACAAUACGGUUAAUAACGUUGGAGCUUGCAUUGUACUUGCACGACAACUGUAAAUUGUAUACGCGCGAAAUAUAUAAUAUUUCUCAGAGAGUGAAAAUGUUUUUAAAUGAAUCUUGACGAUAUUAAUUAAUCUCGCUUUCGUCGGGAGCCUCACAAAAUAACAUUUUGGAGAGGCGAUCAUAACUUUGCAAUAUAAAGGAAAUUACAACUUAGUGAUAUUUCGGUUUGUGACCGUAACAAUGGGUGAAAAGUGCGCACGCUCGUUGCUGCGUUCACAAAUCUAACUAUCCCUUUCACGUCUGUUAAUCUCGUAAUUGUAAAGAGAUCGAUGUACAUCCGAUAAAAGUAGUCAAUCGAGGGAAUUCAAACGAAAACAUAUAUUCUGCAGAGAUUGGCUCAUCUACGCGUUAAGUAGUUGCGCCGAAGGCGAUGAUCGAAAAAAUUCACCUCGGUGCGCUACUUGUCACGUGGUACGAGUGCACUCAGCGAUAUACAGUUGGCGGCAUUUCAAUUUUUCGAAUUUUCCUUUGAUUUUCAUGAAGAGAUGUUUCUUUUUUAAGAAAAACUCUAUAAUUAUCUAAGUUUAAUUUCUGAAGCAAAUGCUUCAAUCUAACUUCCGCUUUUUCGUUUCAGUUCAUCAUCGACAGCUCAUCGCGUUGCAAGAUUAGUUGCAUUAUGAGAUCGUAUGAGAGCGCGCAAUCUCGUCGCGGGACUCGAACGAGAGCCUCACCGGCUCGGUGAAUAGUUUGAUAACGGUGAGGGAGGUGCGAGGACCGCAAAAGAGAGCGGUAGCGAGGGAAGAGAGUAGGAUCAUCAUUCGUCGUCGGUUGGCGGACCAUUCAGUGCCGCGACCGACACUGAUUUCAAUUGGUAAAUUGACUCGCAACGAGGGAGAGGAAAAAAUAGCAGCACGGUGACUGGCGAUGACGUCGCGGAUGGAGGGGAAAGCUGAUAAGUGGAGGGGCGGGAGGGAGGGGGAAAAGAUAACUGGGGGUCCAGCAUCCAGAGAAUGACGGAAAGAGAGAUCGCGCAAAAACUCUGGUAACGAGCGAGAAAAUGAAGAAGAGAGCAAAGAUCUUGUGAGAUGAAACGUAAUUAAUAAAGGAAUGAAAGGAAGGGGAAAAAAGUCAAAAUUGCAUCAACGAUGACUUCUCCUCGAUUUGUGAAAAGGAAACUAGAAGCACGAAAUAAGUUGGGAAAAGAAGAGGGUAAGUAAGAAAGUUGAAAGAGUCAUACUAUGUUUCAAUUCAUAGUAACAAAAGAAGAAGAAGAAUGAAGGGAACACCGACAACGGCGGCGGUAGAUCUCUUCUCUCUCGACAACGGGCUGCGGUUAAUAGGCAGUGAACGCCGUUUGAAUGCUUAAUGCGGCGCGCUUCUAGGAUUAAAUUGACCAAUCAUUUCCCGCGCGACGCCGCGCACCGCGGCAACCAAUUGCGCCGCGCGCGUCCCACUAUAUCAAGGCAAUCAAGAGCAUUUAGCGCUCAGUCGUUGCCGCGCCACUGCGCUAUGCGUUUCGAAGGUUUCAGUUUGUUUCCCUAUUCUUUCGCGUCCGUGCGAAGUCGUACGUAAAACGCGCGCGCGGAAACGCACACUACGAUGCGCAAUCAGUGAACGAACGGACAGAGUGAAGGAAUGCACGUGAGAAGUUAAUUUGCAAUGACGGCUGUAUCGGUGAGAAAAAAAAAAGGAAAUGCCAGUCGAUAUAAACCUGCGGAGUUUAGUUAGAUGUUUCGUAGAGUCCUCGAUUGAUUCAAUGUUUCUCUCGCUCUCAAUGACGGAUCCUCGAAUUUCAAAAACGUGAGGUCGGUCUGAAAUAUUACAUAAAUAUAUAAGUUUUAAAAAGUUUGCAAAAGUUAUUCUACAAUUAUAAAAUGUACUAUUAUAGACACUUGAGAAAUAUACACGUGUGCAUGGAUGAAAUUUAGAUAAAAUUUUAAGAUAUAAUCACGCAAAUGAAUCUUGAUACUAGCUAUAAUAGCUAAUAUGAAAUAUCAUUACGUAUGGCAAAGGGUUAAAGGUUACGCGAUUUCCUGUGAUUGUCUCAUCAAGAAUGCACGGAAAUUGUUAGACAUUAUAUAGAAUAAUGAUUGCGAUGUUAAUUGAAUGCAAAAAUUAAUACGACGAGUAUUUUCUAUUAGAGGAUUUAAAAAAUUGAAGAUUUUAUAUUUCUUAUUAUGAUUCAUAUAAGUAUAUUGUUUCAUAUACUUAUCUAUAUCGUAUAGUAUUUGGAAGAAUUACACAAAAUAAGUAAAAAAUUAUGUUCGUGAAGUAAAGAUCGUGAAUUUUAUUAUUUAUUGAAUAUUUAAUUAAUUUUUCAGUAUAAGAAACCGAUAUUAUGUAAUUUAUAUAAUUGAUACCGGUAUCCGCAUUAUUAAAGAGAAAUUCCCUAUUCUCGUUAAUUACACAGAAAUUAUUUAAAAAUGUUUAAUUUAAUUUAAAAAAUUUCACUCGAGUUAUGCUUUUAACCUGAAUAAAAUAUACUUUGUAAUUAUAAAAGAGAGAUACUUCGUUAUUCGUUACUCGAAAUUUAUACAUAACGCGUUCUGCUCUUAGCACCAGAGCACUAUUUAUCACAAUGACUUCUUGACCUGUACGAACGAUAGUAUAAUGUAUAGAACACAAGAAAGGAGAAAGAGAUAUGGACGACUAGGGUCAAAAUACCAGUAAUACAUUCCGUCUGUAACCCGCGAAAAGUAGGUGAGUCAGAAGGAAAUCUAUUAACAGAUAUUCUUUUGUUGCCUUUCAAUUGAAUUCUAUGGAUGUAACAUAAAAAAAGCAGGAAACAUAGUUUUACAUAUGAAUGCAUUUUUAUACACAAAAUGUGUUUAAAAUAUGAAUUCAAUUUAAUGAAUAAAAGUAUGAAAAAGAUAACAAACUUGAUAUUCAGUGGAUAAACUAAAAUCAUACUUGUAAAAUUUUUUUCUUAAAAAAUAGGAAUAAGUAAAUAACGGAAAUUCUAAUUUGUUUUCGGAAAGUAAAAGUUUUAUAUGUGUAUAUGGAUCAUUAAUUAUAGAAGUGAUUUAUUAUUAGAAAAUUGAUUCAGCGAUUUAAAAAGUAAAACCACUUCUCAGAAUUACGUUAUUUUUUAGAUUAUCGCCAACUUACCUUUUCCGUACUUUUCGAAUCUGGUAUGCGCACCACUGGUGCAUCAUUAAAUACACCCGCAGACGAGUCAUUUUCGAAUCGAGGGGGACAGCGUUUGACGAAGAGGGACCAGCGACAUUAACGAGAAUUAACGUUAAUUGACAUCCCUCCCCCUUAUCUUAUCCCACGACUGGCUCUCCCUCUUUUUGCCGUCUCUCGUUUUUUCGCGUCUUUGCUACCACCAACGCCGAAAGAGCCAGCCGCUCCGUUUACAGGGUGUCCUAUAAUAAAACAACUAAUCAGAAAAGAACUUUUAAAAUAUUUUUUUUUAAUUUGCGAGUAGCUACUUUUAGGUCACAUUAUAUGUGUGGGGGAGGGAGGCUCGUAUGCGUGCGCGCACGUGUGUGUGUGUCUGUAUGUGCGGAUGAACCUGUAAUGUUCGAAGACGUCUCUAAUCCUUUCUGGCGAGUGAUUAAAACUUAAUCCGAGAGCGACGUUAAAAAAUAAUAAUGGACGACGCAGCAUGCACUGUUAUAUUAAAUCUUUCAUUGUCAUUAAUAAAAAUUAAAACCCGUAAAUAUUAAAAAAACAAAUAUUUAUAUAUUUAUCAUUUUUAUAAUAAUUUUCGCAAUUUUUCUGAAUUAUAUUAUUACAUUAUGUAUCACACACAUUAUUAUAUUUUUAUUUUAUACAUACAUAUGAAAAUUACAAGUUCUAUUAAACCAUUUAUAUUUUGUCAUUUUUAUCAUUAAGUAUUUUAAUGCACGUUUUAUGUGUAAUCCUUUAUUGCAUUAUUUUUGUGCACGUUAUUUUUAAUUUUAUCUUCUUUAUUCCUGCAUUAUCGAUGUUCAAUGCAGUUUUAAUACAUAAUCCUAACAGUUGCUGUUUCGUUCUUACUAAGCGGUGAACGACGAGUGGAACGUUAGCAAAAUGAGAAAUGCGUACUGAGACAGUGAGAGAGAAGGGGAGGAGGAGAGGGGGGAGAGAGAGAGAGAGAGAGACGCAGAGAAAUCAAAGAUUCGAUUGUACCUUGUCUCCCUUCACUCUCUUUCAGCUUUCGUCUCUUUGCAAUAUUACCGGCUUCCGAGCUUAUUUGACUUUUAUAUCGUACGGCAAUGUAUAAUCGCCCAUGAUACAUGUUGAAAAACUAUAAAUUUUGUUCUCAGAACGCUACCAUUAUUUAUCAUACUAAUUUUAACAAUACAAAAGCCCGGAAAUAAAAUAAAUUAUUAUUUAAAUAAUGCUCUUUGAAACAAAUUGAUAUAUUUUCAUGUAUCAUAAUUUAUACAUUAUUGUAAGAAUUUAUUCAUAAUGUUGCAAUUUAUUUUUACUAUUCUUUUAUAAAUAUGUGUAUCUUUGUAAUAUAUUCAUAUUAGGUUGUAAAACAUCGAGUUGAAGAAAUACUGUGAUAGACGCAAUGAUAACGUGAUAACACGCAACAGGUCUGGAAGCAAAUCGGUAAGGGUGAAAGAGAAAAAGAAGAAUGAUGGACGAAGGAAAGGGGACGCGAGAGAACAGUGAAUGUAAGGGGAUUUGUGCGAUACAGUGGGCGACUUUAAUGAUUUCUCGAGGUUGUUUCAAUAGAGUACGACUGUCCGUUGUUGCAUCACCGUUAUAUACCGGGUGUACAAGAUGAUACGAAUUAACUUUUUCCUUCAUUAAUAAAUAAGCAACUGCUUCUCGUGUUCCUCACAAAUUUUUCAUUUAUUUUUCAAUUUUUAACCAAACUUUUGCUCUCUCAUAUCUUAUAUUCUGUUGAUUUUGCACUAUAUUUAUUAUAUCUAUACAAUACAAAUGUUUAAAAUAUAUCUUACAUUUCAAACAUCUCUGGAAUAUUCUAGCAUGUAUUUCAACAUUUGUGCUGUUCAGAUUAUUGUUUCUCAUUUCAUGCUAUAUUCUUUCUUUAUAUGUAUAUAUAUUUUUUUUCUCAUAUUUUAUUUAUUUUGUUUGUGGACUUUUGUUUUACCUUAUACUUUGUUUGCAGAAAGGACAAGCUAAAAGAAUCCUUCGAAGAAUGCACUAGAAAAGAUGAAUCGAGAAUGUCCUGUCCUGUUCCUAAGUACUAGUGCCGCAGGAGUGAUUAGGCUGGGCAAGACGUUACCGUAUCUCCUGCUGCUCAAGUGCUUAUCAACGGGUCUGGACGGCUGUCAACUUUUGCCAGAUCGUGAUUUCGGAAGUGAUGAAAACUUCAGAGAUGCUCUUUUUCUCUUUAUUUUACACAUCAGAGAAGCACUGUAAAAUAGUUAAUAAAAUACAUGUAAUUCCUGUAUACUAA